GAUGUUGUGGCGUAAUGGAAGCGCGCCUGCUUACAGGAGACCUGGGUUCAAUUCCCAGCGAUGUCA
rnacentral:tRNA from 1 species